UCUGGAGGACGAAGCAUAACAUUUAAUAUUAAAGGUUGUUAUGCUUUACUCUUCAGCCG
rnacentral:precursor_RNA from 1 species